UUACUACCGAAGCUACGGCAUCAGUAAUGAUGGGUAGGGGAGCUUCCCAUACGGGUUGAAGCAUGACCGUAAGGACAUGUGGACAGUAUGGGAGGGAGAAUGUUGGCAUGAGUAGCGAGAUGUGGGUGAGAAUCCCACAGGCCGUAAACCCAAGGUUUCCAGGGGAAGGUUCGUCCGCCCUGGGUUAGUCGGGACCUAAGCUGAGGCCGAAAGGCGUAGGUGAUGGACAACAGGUUGAUAUUCCUGU
rnacentral:rRNA from 1 species